CGAUAGUGGCGCACGGGUGCGUAACGCGUAACCAACCUGCCCUUGACUGGGGGAUAGCCCGCCGAAAGGCGGAUUAAUACCGCAUAAAAUAACGAUUUGGCAUCAAGUUGUUAUUAAAGAUUUAUUGGUCAAGGAUGGGGUUGCGUGCCAUUAGCUAGUUGGGGGGGUAACGGCCCACCAAGGCGACGAUGGCUAGGGGAGCUGAGAGGCUGGUCCCCCACACGGGCACUGAGAUACGGGCCCG
rnacentral:rRNA from 1 species